rnacentral:misc_RNA from 1 species
AAUCUAUCAAUACCAACACCCGUGAACCAUUCUGUCUGGCCCCCCUCGGAUAGGUGGCAGUAACAUGUCGUCCGGUGGGCUUCCGGGGUACGUGCAUAGCUAUAGCUAUAGCUUUAACUAGCUGUGCUCCGGUCGGGCUCUGCUGUGUGUGUGUGUGAGUGUGUGUGUGUGUGUGGCUCUCCNCACNCCUCUCUCCUWUGUGUGCUCUGGCACCAAGGAGGAGGAAGUGAUCGGGGGGGU